rnacentral:misc_RNA from 1 species
AACGCACAUUGCGCCCAUUAGUAUUCUAGUGGGCAUGCCUGUUCGAGCGUCAUUAAGUCCAUUAAGCCUAGUUGCUUAGCGUUGGGAGCAUUACCGCACGGUAACUCCUUAAAGUCAGUGGCAGGGUUACGGUACACUCUAAGCGUAGUAGAUUUCUUUUCUCGCUUCUGAUGUGGCCGCGGCCGUUGCCAUAAACCUCUAUACUUCUUAGUUGGUUGACCUCGGAUCAGGUAGGAAUACCCGCUGAACUUAA